rnacentral:lncRNA from 1 species
ACAGUUUGAUUUUCUUUUUAAUGUGUAUAUCCUUUAAUUUAUCAGUUUUAUUAUGGUGCCAAGUGGCAACAUGGGAGUGUUUGAUCCAACGGAAAUACACAAUCGAGGGCAACUGAAGUCACACAUGAAAGAAGCCAUGAUCAAGCUUGGUUUCCACUUGCUCUGUUUCUUCAUGUAUCUUUAUAGGUGAGUUUAAAGUUCUCUUUAAACUCUAAAAAGAUGCCAUGUCAUCUAAAAAGAUGCCAUGUCUGCUUUUGAUGGAUAAGUUAUUACUAUAGUAGAUUUUGCAUUGAUAUUGCAUAACUUUGGGGGUUUUAUGUGAAUUUCUUAGUCAUUGAGGCUAUCAACAUGCUUAAAACUAUCUUGGCUAUUUUUUUUAGAUAUUAAUGGACCUUUAUUUUAUUUAUUUAUUUAUUUAUAUGUGGUGCUGAGAAUCGAACCCAGUGCCUCACACAUGCUAGGCAAGUGCUCUACCACCGAGCCACAACUCUAGCCCCUGUCUUGGCUAUUCUUUUCCUGCCCUAGUGUUUAGCUGUGAGGAAUUACUUGUAGCAGGUUUCACCUAUCACAAGCAUUAAUAUAUGUACCCCCAGAGACCAUCCCUCUUAUGGGUUUCUGGGGAGUUAAACUACUGGCAGCGGAUCUCAACAACUUACAUCAAAUUGGGCUGAUCUUUCUUGGCAGUAAGGAAUUUAGAUGUGAUGCUGAUUUUCCUUGGUUCUAAAUGGUCUAAUUGUAUGUCUUCUAGUUAUAAUAUAUGCAAUUAAGAAUUAAUAUGAAGAAUUGACUGUCACACACUGGAAGCUUUGUGUAGUCUUGUUUAAAACGUAAAUUUAUUCCCUUAUGUUUUAGAGAUGAACAUACCACAUUUUCCUUUAUCUAUCAUAGAUUUAUAGAACAGAACAAAGGGGAGGAAAAAAAAUGCCACUGUAUGAUUUGAUUAAGCCUGUAGGGAGUUAGAAAUCAGGCUUAACUUUAGUAUCAAAUCUUUAAUUAGAUCAUUUCUACUUUUCUCCUUUUUAAAAAAUUUUCAUUUUUUUGUGGUGCUGGGCCUUGAACACAUGGUCUUAUGUGUGCUAAGCAAGUGUUCUACCACUGAGCUACACCUCUAGCCCUUGAAAUUUUAAUGUUUUGCACAAGCAUAAGAACUAUUUAGGAAAAAUUUAUACUAAACUAAGCUUUUACCCUUGUAAGAAUCUUAAUAGCAAUUAUAUGGAGAUAAUGCUUUUUUUAUCUGAAAUAGUUUAAAGUCAUAAACUUUGUCAGGCAUCUGCCUGACAAAGCUGCCUUAUGGACCUCCUUUACUGGGUUAAAUCUACCCACUAGCAAAGAAUAAAUUAAAAUUAGAGUUUAGGGCUGCGCAUGGUGGUACAUGCCUGUAAUCCCAGUGAUUUGGGAGGUUGAGACAGGAGGAUUGAAAGUUUGAGGCCAACCCUGUCUCAGUCUAAAAAAAAUCAAAAAGACUGGGGUAUACCUCAGAGGGAUGGUGCCCUGGGUUCAACUCCUAGCCCCUCUUUCCCCAAUUCAAAAAAAGUUUAGGACCGGGAUAUAGUUCAGUGUUAAUGUUUGCAUAGCAUGCAUGAAGCCCUGGGUUUGAUCCCCAGUACUGAAGAAAAAGAAAAAAGUUAGAGUUCAGUUCCUUUUCACCAUUCAUUUUAUUUGCUUUUUUCGGAGUUUUAUUUUGAAAACUAGGGCAAAAGAAAUCACUGCUAUCAGUUUCUGGUUCUUGUGCCCUACCUUAGUGCUAGUGGGCUUAAUUUUUAAUCUAGGUAUUAAAGAUGAAAUUAAAGGUCAAACAAUUUUAAUAUUAAGAACACAAGCUGGGUGUGGUGGUGUGUGCCUGUAGUUCAAACUACUCUAGAAGCUAAGGCAGGAGUUUGAGGCCAGCCUGGGCAACAUGUGAGACCCCCAUCUCAAAAAAGAAAAUAAACAAAAGAAUACAAUGAUGCAUAUAUUUUCAUUUUUUAGGUCAAACUAUGGGAAGGUAUCUUUGUAUGUAUUUUUGUAUGUAUCUUUGUAUUUGUUUCUGAAGUAACAGAAACAAAAAAACUAGGUGGAAUUGGUAUAGCUAAGGUUAUCCUUUUUCAUUCUCCCCUGAAGGGUUCACACUGUUGGAGAGUAAACUUGAGCAGACAUUCCCUGCAUCUUGGUAGUGUGAGCUUUCUUGGGGUCAUGUUAUAGACAGGCUUUUUGAGAAUAAACAUAGAAUUGAGGAGCAGUCAUAUGGCUUAGUAGACCUGAGGUCUUGAGAUUUAAAAAUGCACAAGAAUUUCUUUGUCUUGGUCACUGAAUUUAAAGCAAUGGGAAAACAGGCUGGAGGAAUUGGGAAGCCAUUAGGGGGACUGUAGCUCGGUGAUACAACACUCAGUAGAAUUGUAGCAUGUGAAAGGUCUGGGUUGAAUCCCCAGCACCAGGAAAGUAGUAGUAGUUUUAAGAUAUGGCUUUUUACAACUAAAUGAAGGAUAAGCAAACUGUAUAACUGGUGUACCUGGCAGCUGCUCCUUUCGUUGUUUCUCUCUCUCUCUUUUCUUUCUUUCUUCUUCCCUCUCAGCUUGUCAUUUUCAGUCACUUUGCUAUUACCCAUCCCUUGGUGUCACUCAUAGUUACAGGGAUCAGGAUGAAAGAGAAUAGUUUUAGAAUAUGACCUUGUAGCACUUUUUUUCUUGGUUUUGGUUGCUAUUUUUUUUAAGUGAUUUUAUUAUCAAAUUACCAGCUUUUAUUGCAGAGUUUUUAUGCUGCUCCUAUUCUGAUUCUGUUGUCUGCCACAUCUGGCAUGUUGUUCAAUAGAACUAAAGUUUUGGAAAAAAGAAAAAAAAUGUUCAUCUUUCUUAGAGAAUGGUGAAAUUAAUGCCUUUGAGUUUCAGUUAGGUGCUAACCAAGUAGAAGCUGGGCUUUACCACUUCCUGUGUGACUUGGGGCAGGUAUAUUUACUUCUCUGUGCCUCAGUUUCUCAUUGGAAAAUGGGAUCUUAUACCUUCCUCAUUGAAUUGUAGUGUUGACUAAGUGAGAUGGUGCUUGUAGAGCGCUUAGAUUUAUAUUGAAGUGUAUAGUAAAUGCUCAAAAGUCUUUCAAAAAUACCAGCUACUACCAUUAAUCUGUGCUGUUCAUUGUGUAUAUUUAAUAUGGUUAAAUUUAGAGAACUAAUCAUUUAUACCAUUAGUAUCAUAAGGGUAUUUUUGUGCAUGUUAGUCAUUUGAUCUCAGCAGAGCAAGUCUGAUCCCUAAUAAAUAAAAGGAAAGGAUUGUUUUUUAUCAUUGUUCAACUGAGGUGAUUUCAUAAGAUUAUUUAUUGGAUGAUUGCUAUGUGUCAGACACUGUAAAGCACUGCAAGUGACACAAAGGAGCAAUGCAGAAUCCCUGCAGUGGAGAGCUCUGAGCUUCACAAUUGCUGUCCUAGGGUGUCACAUGGGACGUGAAAGUGCAAGUGUUGGGAUCGUGCUCUCAUUUUGGAGGAGCUCAUAGAUCAGAGCAUGCAAGAUGAUGAGCUAUGGAAGGAGCCAUGCAACUGCUCUGGUCUGAGGCUGGCCUCCUCAGGAGGUGCUUCAGAGCACCUUCCUGGUCAUGGAAGCCCAAGUGUGUGUGUGGAGGAAUGGUGGAGGAGUAGGGCAGAGGGAUUCCAGGCAUAGCAAUAGCUUGUGCAAAGACCUGGUGAGAUAAUUAAAGGUUGUUCCCCACCCUGCAUAUAGGCUCCUUUUUUUUUUUUUUUAAACAUAUACUCCCAUAUUGUUUUUAGGUUGUACUCCCACCUUCACCCCUAAUUACUUAUUAUUUAGUGAAGAAUUAGGCCAUCAGAAUCCCUAGUAUAAAUAUUCUUCCUUUUGGGUAAAACAUGAUUGUCUUCUACUCAAAUGAAUAUUCUUUGAUGACCCUCAGGGAUGGAAGUCUGGACAGACCAGACUGUAGGAACAUUUCUAAAAAGGAAACAUUAGUAACAUUAAUUUCUUCUUUUCACAGUAUGAUUUUAGCUUUGAUAAAUGACUGAAGCCGAAGAAGCUGUGGUUGGAGUUAACCUACAGUACAGUGCACAGUUGAGGAGCCAGAGACUACUUACAUCAUCCUUAGAACCGUGACCAUAGCAGUAUAUAUUUUCGUCUUUGAAUAAGAUACUAUUUUUGCUGUAUUUUUACCAUAUAAAGUAUUUAAAAAACAUGAAUUGAGUUUUUGUAGAUUUCUGGUUCUCAACAUUAGCCUGAACCCCAACACAUGAAGGUGUUUUUUAUCAUCUGAGUGUUGAAGAAGGUUAUUUGUAUGUAGAAGUAGGACUGUCUUGUCAGCCUUGCAUGCCAAAGAAAUAAAGGACACACCUUAAAAGGGAAUACUUGAUAAGCCAGAUUGUCUUCAAGUCUACUGAAGAGUCAGAAUAUAAAACAACACUGUUAAUCUGGACAAAAGAAAAAAAGAAAGUUACCUACCCUUUUUGCCUAUAUUGUGGCAACUUCAUAAUAGUAUGUCUUAAAGAUUUAUGGGGUUGUCAGCUAAAAGUCUUUCUAUAAGAAUAUUAAUAGAAAAUGACAUUUCAAAAAUUUAUAUUUCUUUGCAGAAUUUGUGAAAUAUUAUAAGCCAUUUGCCCAGAUACAAUGUAAUUCUUGCUUAUAGAAAGGGAAAAUAAAUUUAAAAAACCAAGAUUUUUAUCAGGAGCUUUCAUUUAAAAGCUACUGUCUCCACAAUCACCCCCAAACUCAUACAAUCUCCUUGGUGCUUGCAGGGUCUUAUUUUUGUAUUGCAAUUGAUUCAACUGUUUUUGAUCUCUUUUUAUUUAAUGGGGUUGGAGAAGUGAUUUGGUAGAAGAAUCUUCUAUAAGAUUAUAAGCAGGAAGAAUUGUUCUUUGUCAGUGAAAUUGAGCCUACUAGUGCUCUGCUUGGUGCCGGGAUUAACUGCAUUUCUUCUGUUCUUAUUGCACUGACUACUUUGUGAACUGAGAACCAAUACAAGCCAUUUUGUGCUCAUAGCAAUAUCUAACAGAACUCAGUUUCUUGGCGCUGUUUGUAAACCCUGCCACAUUGAGAUCAGUUGCCCCCAGCUGUCUCUCAGCUCUCAUGAUGUCAGAUGAGCCUGGUGGGUCAUUCAGGCCUAGCUUAUGCUUUAAUAUUGCUAUCUUAAGCUUUGGCAUUUAGGCAAACCAUGAUUAUUCUAUGACCAAGUCCAAAGGGAUUAUUUAUUCUGGCAUGAUACACCUUGUGGUCCCCAAAAGAUUUAAUGUUGCAUAGACUUUUGGCUUUAGCUUUGGUUGAAAUAGAAGCAAGGGAGCCACUAAGCUAAAUUCCCAUGCAAACAGACCAUGUUUCAGAGAUAGAAGUGGUGCUCUGGCAACAAACACAUUUAAGGAAGAGAGAGGUGGAGGCAAAGUAAAUUUGAUCCUGCUGGCCUCUGAAGAGUCACAGAAAUUCUCCUUAUGGUAAUCUUAUUUCUGCAGGGCAAAGGGCCAAGAAGCUGUAACAGAAAUUACUUUGCUUGCAUCUUUUUCUUAACUUUUUCCCUUGGAAGCACAUUCUGUUUAAAACAUAAUCCUCCCUAACUGCCAGUGCCUCUCAGUGUUCUGCCCAAGUUUUUAAAACAAUGAAGCUGUUGGAAAAUUUAAAUCCUGGAAACUGAGAGAAAAUGGUUUACUAAAAGUAGCUCAAAGGAGUGGAGAACUUUUGACCAAAGUCUUUCACCUUUUCAUUCAAGUAUUCUUAAUAGCCCAAACUGAAACCCACAUGGCUGAGAACUUUGGGCUGCAAUUCCACAUGUGGCACAAGGUGCCUGGGCUGAGCAAAUAGGUGCCUAUUCAAAGAACCAGGAAUGAUUUACUUCUGAAGCAUUAACUAGUUAAAAAAAUAAAAACUCUCCCUUUCUUGUAUUGCUUGUCUGUAUCAAAGUCAAGAAAGGGGUGGAGGAGAUCUAGCUUUUAUUUUUUCAGGGGCUUUUCUAUGAAAGAUGAAAAAGAAGGGACAAUAGCACUGACUUUAAAAUAGCUAUGGCUAAGAUGCUAAAGGUUAAUUUAUAUUUUUUGAUUUGAGAGUUGCAGAGAACCUUGGAGAUUAUUUGUUUUAAUGUCUUAAAACUUGAGGCCUAAAGAUUGCCCAAUAUCUCAUUAAGUAUGAGCAUCUGAAAUCCUGAUGUUUAGUCCAGUGCUCUCCCUUACCCACUCUACCAUGUCCCUCUAUAAAGGCAGUACUGAGGACCCAGCCAGUGCAUACUACCAUGAGGAGUUCCUGUGCGUAUUUUAAUUCGUGUAUUGUCAUUUUUCUCUUGGCAUUCUUUCAGUGAUAGCAGGCACCAUUGCUAAAUCACUGGAACCUCAGCUGAGAGAACUGGGGAACCAAAAUCCAAGAUGCAGCUCAGUUCAUCAGAACCUAGUACGUACUUUCAGCUGCCUUUUCAUGCCUGCCACACAGAUGACGGUGGAAUUAAGAAUCCAAAUCAGUUUCCCGUGACCUGGUCUUAACUUUGAAGUUGAGAACUAAGAAAGCUUCCUGCUGUACUUUAUCUCCUGUGGUACUUUCUGUCUCUGUCUGGUAUUAGUUAUUCACCUGCAAAUAAUCUCACCUACUAGAUUGUACGCUCCUGGAGGGCAGAGUCCACUUUUAUCUGUAGUUUCAUCCUUUCUCUCCUGGCACCUAACACAGUGCCUUGAACACAGAAACAAUAAAUGAUUGUUGAGUAACAAGUAACUGAUUGUGUUGUUCUAUUGCUUUUCAAGCAAGAAGUCUAACUGAUGUCUUUUAAGUCAGGGAAAGUAAGAAGCAAUGGAGCAACAUAAUCAAAGUCCACUGCCCUCUUUGUUUUCAAGGCAAUCAUUUGCAAACUAGAAAAUUCUAAGGCUUGCUGGGCUAGGAAAGAAAACUGCUCUAUCUGGUCCACUUGAGACUGUUGAAAUCAGUUUUUUCUGACUGUAAUACUUUGUCAGAAGUGGUUGUGAAAAGUACAUUCACUUGAUGCAAUUAGUUGUCCCCCAAAAUCUAAACUAAUUUCAAAUGUAUAGAACUAGAUAGGAAGAUAGAGAAGCUUAAUUUUAAAUUCUGUACUUAUCAUCUUGAUCUCUGCCACCUGAGUUUUUCUACUUUAAACCAAAUAUACUGUUUUUGCUAUGCAGUGUAAUAGAUUGAAAUAUUUUGGUAUAAUGAAGCUUCAGAAGGCCAUUCAAAGAAUGUCUAUUCAGGUUUUCUAAGGGUUUGUAAGUGAAGUCUUGGGUUUAAGCCACACUUUCAAUGAAUAUUUUGAAAGGCAGAACUAGUUUUCUGCUAAUGACUGAGGGUCAUUCAGAACCUUAGCAUUAUCAUUCUGAACUUCGACUAUUGCAAUAAUGAUCACAAAGGUAACUUGGUACUGCACUCAAGUUGCUCUUUAGAAAACACUUUGGUAAAAGCUUAUAUUUUUAAUUGCUUUCCUCUUGAGGAUGGGUGGGAAAGUCCGUAGCUAGCUGAGAUCUCCAAGGUUUGAUUGGCUUCCUUUAUAUUUGCUUUGCUACAUCUGCUGUGGAACAAUCUUGGUUUCAUAUAUAUCAAUUCCCAUUAAACAUUACAAUCAGGGUUGGGGUUGUGGCUAAGCAGUAGAAUGCUCGCCUAGCACGUGUGAGGCCCUGGGUUCUAUCCUCAGUACCACAUAAAAAUAAAUUAAUAAAAAAUAGGUACUGUGUCCAACUACAAAAAAAAAUUACAAUCUAGUCAAAAUGUUGAAUUCCUAUUUUCUGAUGGAACACCUUGUGUGUCAAAUACAGAAAGUAAGUAAGAUGUACUCCACCACUGUGCUAUACUCCCCCAGGCCUGGCACGGUUAAGAUUCUGAGUUACACACUAGUAAACCAUCACUCUCCAGUCAUCUUUUAUUUCAGGUUUAUGUUUCAGGACCCUAUGCUUGAUCAGAAUCUCCAUUUUGUUGCUGACUCCGGAUUUAAUCUCACCUAACAUCCAUUAUUUUGAGAACCAUGCACUCUUGAUGUAAGAAACUGGCAUGAAAACAGGAGCUUGAAUCCUUGGUUCAUUCCCACAGCUCAGUUCACUCAAAUUGAUAAUCUUGGAAGGAGAGGAGGAUAUAACAUGGAAUUAAAUUAGAUGAAGUUUCUCUUUAGAGCCAAAUGUCUUAUCUUGAUUUGAUCAGCAACUUGUUUCAGAGACUAGACGCAUAAUGAGUAGGAGCUGAACUUAAUAUACAACUGAAGGCUGCACGUUUGGCUACACUAUUAUCUCCAACAAAGAGACCAGUGGGGCAAGGCUAGUAAUCCUUUGGUUUUACAGUAGCACUAAAUAAAUUUACUAACUUUUGGGAAGAGAGAAACGGGUCUAAACCAUGUUAAUUGGUAAUUUUGUAUUUACCAGUUGCAAUAAUAAACUCAUUUUAUGCAU